rnacentral:misc_RNA from 1 species
CAACCAUCAAGCCCCCGGCUUGUGUUGGGGACCUGCGGCUGCCGCAGGCCCUGAAAAGCAGUGGCGGGCUCGCUGUCACACCGAGCGUAGUAGCAUACAUCUCGCUCUGGGCGUGCUGCGGGUUCCGGCCGUAAAACCACCUUCAUAACCCAA